rnacentral:lncRNA from 1 species
GUGACAUGCACUCAGAAGGAGCCAGAUUCCUUAGUUGAGGGUGUGGUUGAAGGGGGGAGGCAGGCCCCCCAAUCCUAAUUGAGGGAUAUCAUCUCUCAGGCUUAAAUAAGUGCAUUUAGUUAUUGUAACCCCAGGCACUGGGGUACCUACUGAGGCUGUUGUUGGAGAGGGGAGAUUUUCAGGGCUUUUAUUUUUCCCUUUUUGAUUUCAGACAGUGCUACCCCCUCUACUCACCCUAGAUUCUCCAUCUCAGCCCUGAAGGAGCAAAUAGGUCUAUAGGACACGCCUCCAGGUUCCUUUUAAUUUAUGCUGGUUUGAUUGAGAGUUACAAGAUUUAACCAAACAUUUUUCCCUCACACUGGAUUCUACAGCAAAAUAAAAUGAUGAUAUUAAAAGGUUUUUUUUUUUUUUAAAAGAUUCAGUCUCUUCAUGGAGUGGUAUGGUGUUCAACUCAGUGCUCUGUGGGGCCUGGAGGGAAGUUCCUUCCCUCUGCUGUUGGCUGUUUCUUCUCAAGUGAAACUAAAGCUCACAGACCAACUAAACAAAAAUCAGCAAUGACUUUUUAGUGUAUGUUUGGGAGUGAUAAUGAACUGGAAAGGAUGGAGCUGGUUCUGAAUGACUUCUGAGAACCUAGCUUUUGCUAUUCUUACCACUCUCUAAACAGCCACAUGUCCAAAGUUCCAGUCACAUUUUAUCUUUCCCAAUAAAGGAGUUUCAAAGAUAAUUGUCCCCAAGUUACUCCGACACCUCUGGACUCUGCAUUGUCUUCUUUCUCCAAGGAGUCAGUGCCCCAGACCCACCACCACAGGUGAGAAGACAGAAUUAGUAGUCCUCGUCCUGGAAUCACCUGCACCACAGAUUUUUCUAAUUUCCUUUUCCCUCCAGGCCCUUCAACUACAGAUUCAGUGACUCAUACAGGCAGUCUGUUUCUUUCAUUUUAUAGAAAUCACGGGCUGUUUUGCCCCCUGAACUUAAGUGGAUUAACAGAAUAUUAUACCCUCCAUGGAGACUUUCUCCACAACCCCUCCUUUUACUGGCCACUUGGGUAAGAGGUGCUAGAAAAGAGGAAGGGAAGCUGGCUGCCAGGAGCGAAGAGAGGAGCGGGGGUGGGGAGAACCUUGGCCUCUUUCUGUGCUUAUAACUGGAUCUGUGAUUCAUCUUGUGAGUCACUCAGCUCCACCUCCUUCCUCUAGCAGCCCCUCCCAGCAGCCUUCACUCCUGGCACAAACCUGCAACCAGACCAGGAUUCUGAAAAUGGGAAAAUCUGAUACAGACCCUUGCCUCUCCACCCUUCCUUCCAUCCACUAAACCUCCGUUGGGGGUGGUCGGGGGCGGGGCGGGGGGGUGGUGUCCUCCUGUUACUCAACACUCAGCUGCUGUCCCCUUUGCAUUCCUGGUUAGGUGCUGAUCCAAGUCACCCAUCUUUUUUCUGGCUCUGACCUUCCCCAUCCCCCCUCAUGUUUUCUC